GAUGAAAUACUGGUUCUCGUACUAUCACCAAAGUUAAGUAAUAUCAAGCCUGGUCAGUACCUAGAUGGGUGACUGCUAGGGAAUACUAGGUGCUGUAAG